rnacentral:rRNA from 1 species
GACGAACGCUGGCGGCGUGCUUAACACAUGCAAGUCGAACGUGAUUUUUGUGGAAAUUCUUUCGGGAAUGGAAAUGAAAUGAAAGUGGCGAACGGGUGAGUAACACGUGAGCAACCUACCUUACACAGGGGGAUAGCCGUUGGAAACGACGAUUAAUACCGCAUGAGACCACAGAAUCGNNNGAUAUAGGGGUCAAAGAUUUAUCGGUGUAAGAAGGGCUCGCGUCUGAUUAGCUAGUUGGAAGGGUAAAGGCCUACCAAGGCGACGAUCAGUAGCCGGUCUGAGAGGAUGAACGGCCACAUUGGAACUGAGACACGGUCCAAACUCCUACGGGAGGCAGCAGUGGGGAAUAUUGCACAAUGGGGGGAACCCUGAUGCAGCGACGCCGCGUGAGCGAAGAAGGUUUUCGAAUCGUAAAGCUCUGUCCUAUGAGAAGAUAAUGACGGUAUCAUAGGAGGAAGCCCCGGCUAAAUACGUGCCAGCAGCCGCGGUAAUACGUAUGGGGCGAGCGUUGUCCGGAAUUAUUGGGCGUAAAGGGUACGUAGGCGGCCUUUUAAGUCAGGUGUGAAAGCGUGAGGCUUAACCUCAUUAAGCACUUGAAACUGGAAGGCUUGAGUGAAGGAGAGGAAAGUGGAAUUCCUAGUGUAGCGGUGAAAUGCGUAGAUAUUAGGAGGAAUACCGGUGGCGAAGGCGACUUUCUGGACUUUUACUGACGCUCAGGUACGAAAGCGUGGGGAGCAAACAGG